UUUUAUUAAAGAAGUCCAAUAUGCAAUAGUGUCUUUUAACUUUCUCAAGCCUGAAACCAUUAUCUUUUAGCUUCGCUAAUAUUCUAUAAUCAAUUUAGGUCCAAUAGAUAUUAAGGGUUUUUGAUCCCAAAAAAAAGAUAUUUGGGAUCUUGAAUCCUCCGACUAUCGCCUCUGUAACAUCUUAAGAUCUUGGCUAGGAGAUACAUUUAUUCAAGCAUUAACGACAUCUCUACCAUUCCUCCCACUCUUCCUCAUUGGCCCUUAUCAUCCACCAAGGUAAACGUUCAAAGCACCGACUAUAAAUGUGUUCAAAGACGUAUUUAAGCACGUCGUCGGCACAUAGCCGUCGUUUUCUUAUCUCUCCCCGACUUAAUCUUUGUUCUCACCGACAAAAGAUCGGCAGAAUCUCCUCUCUGUUGUUACCGUAGCUCGAUCCCAGGAAUCCUAAAUAAUGGUUUUCGAGAAUCAUCGAAUUGAUCCUCUGUUCUUACAUGCUUCUUUUGCAGUGUGAUUCUGGUGUUGAUAAAUCUGCUUGCUUCUAAGGAUGAUUCCUACCUGGAUAGCUACGUCAGCACCAUUGGUGUUGACUUCAAAAUCCACACUAUCGAACAAGAUGGAAAAACUAUCGAACUCCAGAUUUGGGCCACAACAGGCCAAGAGCGUUUCAGAACGAUCACCAGCAUUUACUACAGAGGAGCUGAUUUGUGAUUCUGGUGUUGGCAAAUCAUGCUUGCUUCUAAGGUUUGCUGUAAGUUAUUGCAUAUCUCUCUCUUUCUCUCUACUGGGACACUAUUACAUGUUCACCUAGAUAUCCGCACUGAUGGACACUGCAACGAAAUCCCAUACGUAUUUACCCUAUUAAGCAACAACUCUAUCCUCUCGAUGCUCAACUUCAGAAAAUAAUCAACAGCUACAAACUGCCGCCAGACCCCCCACCCCUUCACUUUCGUGCUGAAACGUAACGACCAUUCUCAUUCAGGACCACACAUCGACUGAACACCUUUCAAAUUCUCUAAGAAGGAGCCAUGUAUGAGCUCAUUGUUUCGAUGUUACAAAGGAUUAAUCAAAACUUCAGACUCUCAGACUCACCAGUUUCUAUCGGAUUCACCGAUAAAACAUUUUUUAGAUUCAAAAACCAUCAACCCUAUUCCUACCGAGAUGUCCUGGUUCCGUACCUGUGACCAGCUGAUGUUACUGGGAUUGUUAGGUACUGUGUGCAGCUAUCAGUCUCAGAUGUCUUAGAGUCUACCGUGUUUGUCGCAUUCGAUGGUGAAAUGACGAAGCUGAUUAACGGCCAUGCUGCAGAGGUCAGGUCCCACAAAUUAUAGUUGUCACAAAGAAACAGAUGUGAUCCAAUUUUUUAUGAAUAUUCUCUAAAACCUUGCUCAUCAACUCCUGUUUGUUGAAGUAAUCAAAGCCUAGGUACAGCAGCCUGUUUAUUUCAUCGACGAUUGCUUCAUAAGAAAAAGGCCCGACAAAGACAAGACGACCAAAAGACCACUCAUUAACAUUGGUAGGACGCUACAUGAUAUUGAGGCAAAACAAAUGAAUGAUUAGAAGCAGAAGCACACAUGUAAAUCUACCAAACCUUGCAAGCAUCUUUUACAUGCGAUGAAAUAAAAGAUAAUAAUGUGGCCUUGGUUGUUUGAGUGUUUUUUUUGCUUUGGGUUUUUGUUUCAUCUAUAUAAUUAUUUUCUCAAACUUGAUUCACAAGGCCAGAGUAAAUUACUAUAAUGUUAUUCAAGAAAUAUUUAGAAAUAA